GACGAACGCUGGCGGCGUGCCUAAUACAUGCAAGUCGAGCGGACGAAUCGAAAGCUUGCUUUUGAUUCGUUAGCGGCGGACGGGUGAGUAACACGUGGGCAACCUGCCCUGUAGACGGGGAUAACACCGAGAAAUCGGUGCUAAUACCGGAUAACACGAAAUGUCGCAUGACGUUUCGUUGAAAGACGGCGCAAGCUGCCGCUACAGGAUGGGCCCGCGGCGCAUUAGCUAGUUGGUGAGGUAACGGCUCACCAAGGCGACGAUACGUAGCCGACCUGAGAGGGUGAUCGGCCACACUGGGACUGAGACACGGCCCAGACUCCUACGGGAGGCAGCAGUAGGGAAUCUUCCGCAAUGGACGAAAGUCUGACGGAGCAACGCCGCGUGAGCGAAGAAGGCCUUCGGGUCGUAAAGCUCUGUUGUUAGGGAAGAACAAGUAACGCAUUAACUGGCGUUACCGUGACGGUACCUAACGAGAAAGCCACGGCUAACUACGUG
rnacentral:rRNA from 1 species